AAUCCCCGCGGGUUGAAGUCUGUCAAGACCAAUGAUGUUCGAAUUAGAAAAAUAAAAUAAGAUGAACUUUAGGUAUUGAAAAAAACAAUUAGCGUUCUUUACAAUGAUUGGACUCGACUCCAACCCAUCCCUCUUAUACCACAUUCCAAACAUCAUUCAAUAUAAUAAUUAACAUUUUACAAAAUAUAACCAACAACCAAUAAUACUUCUGGCUAAGUUAUGUUUACACAUUGAUUUUGAUAUUUUAUAAAAUUGUUUCAUGCAAUUGUAGUAAAAUAUCUAAUGUUCAGAUUUUGGUUGUAUUACU